GAUGAACGCUGGCGGCGUGCCUAAUACAUGCAAGUCGAGCGGACGGACGAGAAGCUUGCUUCUCUGACGUUAGCGGCGGACGGGUGAGUAACACGUGGAUACCCUACCUAUAAGACUGGGAUCACUUCGGGACACCGGCGAUAAUACCGGAUGAUAUCUUGCACCGCAUGGUUCAAAAGUGAAAGACGGUCUUGCUGUCACUUCUAGCUGGUUCCGGGCUGCAUUGGCUGGUUGGUACGGUACCGGCCUACCAAGGCGACCAUGCGUAGCCGACCGGAGAGGCGGAUCGCCGACACGGGAACGGAGACACGGACCAGACGCCUACGGGAGGCAGCAGUAGGGAAUCGUAGGCAAUGGGCGAAAGCCUGACGGAGCAACGCCGCGUGAGAGAUGAAGGUCUUCGGAGCGUAAAACUCUGUUAUGAGUGAAGAACAGAUGUGUAAGGAGAUGUGCACAGCGUGACGGUACCGAAUCAGAAAGCCACGGCUAACUACGUG
rnacentral:rRNA from 1 species